UACGAUAAUACCACGUUGAAACAUCAGUUCUCAUCCGAUCAGCAUAGUUAAGCAACGUUGAGCCUGGUUAUUACCUAGACGAGUGUCCGCUUGGGAAUACCAGGUACUA